GAUGAACGCUGGCGGCGUGCCUAAUACAUGCAAGUCGAGCGAACAGACGAGGAGCUUGCUCCUCUGACGUUAGCGGCGGACGGGUGAGUAACACGUGGAUAACCUACCUAUAAGACUGGGAUAACUUCGGGAAACCGGAGCUAAUACCGGAUAAUAUAUUGAACCGCAUGGUUCAAUAGUGAAAGACGGUUUUGCUGUCACUUAUAGAUGGAUCCGCGCCGCAUUAGCUAGUUGGUAAGGUAACGGCUUACCAAGGCAACGAUGCGUAGCCGACCUGAGAGGGUGAUCGGCCACACUGGAACUGAGAUACGGUCCAGACUCCUACGGGAGGCAGCAGUAGGGAAUCUUCCGCAAUGGGCGAAAGCCUGACGGAGCAACGCCGCGUGAGUGAUGAAGGUCUUCGGAUCGUAAAACUCUGUUAUUAGGGAAGAACAAAUGUGUAAGUAACUAUGCACGUCUUGACGGUACCUAAUCAGAAAACCACGGCUAACUACGU
rnacentral:rRNA from 1 species